UGAGGAAUUUUGCGCAAUGGGGGAAACCCUGACGCAGCAACGCCGCGUGAGUGAUGAAGGCCUUCGGGUCGUAAAGCUCUGUCAGGUGGGAGGAAAUGAGUUUGGUUAAUAGCCAGAUUCUUUGACGGUACCACCAAAGGAAGCAUCGGCCAACUCCGUGCCAGCAGCCGCGGUAAUACGGAGGGUGCAAGCGUUAUUCGGAAUUACUGGGCGUAAAGGGUGCGUAGGCGGCGCGAUAAGUCAGGGGUGAAAUAUGUCGGCUCAACCGACAAACUGCCUCUGAAACUGCCGCGCUUGAGGUCGGGAGAGGAAGGUGGAAUUCCAGGUGUAGCGGUGAAAUGCGUAAAUAUCACGCAGAACUCCGAUUGCGAAGGCAGCUUACUAAGCUACAACUGACACUGAAGCACGAAAGCGUGGGGAUCAAACA
rnacentral:rRNA from 1 species